GUGCGCUCCCCGCCGAGGCUCCCCUCGACGCCUGGGCCGCCGCGCAACCGCACUGGAGCGGCUUCUCCCGCUGCCGUCUUCGCGCAGGGUUGAGUUUGUGCAUCGAUUGUGAACACAACAGGCAGCAGGCUAUAAUGGUGGUCCUGGCUGGAGUAGUUUUCACAGACUUCAGUAAUCUGUGGAGAUGAACGGGCAGUUCUCUGUAGUUUUCACAGAUCACUGCCAGUUCGUUUUGAGGCCUUCAGGAGUGAAGACCUGGCUCAUCAUCACUCUUUGUUGUUUUGUUAAAUUUAUUUACACCCUACUUUAUUCCAGAGGAAAGGAUUUAACGUAGUUUACAUAAAUGUGUACAUCAGGGUAAAUUAAAAAUAAGUACAGAGAAAAAUAGGACAAAAGAAAACCGUGAGUGUGAAAGAUAAGAUUAAGCCAGCAGUUUUGUAUGCAAAAUGCAUGGUGUAAGGUCCUAUUGGUUUGCUGGAGGUAGGCCACACAUAUGACUCUCAGUUUUCUAGCAACCAAGAAAAAGAUCAGUUGCAAUCGGAGUAGGUGUUUUGGCUAAGCUGGAACUAGGACUUGAAUAUAGCAGCUUGUAGAGUUAUACCACUUGCCCAAAUCUCUUCCAUGAGCCUCUUUAAGUGUAACAGAAUGCCUGGGAGCACGUAAAUGCUCCUACUUAGAUGCCUACUUAGCCUCUAAUUUUCAUGGGGCCCAUGAAUCCCAUGAAAAAGAACUUUGAACCCUGUCCACAAUUAGAGUUCAGGUAUACGCAGACAUGUUUAAAGACAAGGGACACCCAAAGGAAAGAUUGCACAGAGAGAAAGUGAGCAUCCGAGAGAAAAUCACCACAAGUGAGGCAGAGGGAGGCCGGUCUCAGCAGAGUUUUGGAGGUCGUGAGAAGAAGAGGUAGGAGAUAGGAGAGUGGUUCCGAGUACUUGCCUGCUGAUGUUACCUUCUCCACCCCCACCAGGUUUUCCAGUGCCUGGAGUCUUGGGCAGGAAUGGGCCACUGUAAGAAAGAGCUUUAUCACUAGGGCCUCAGCCAACUUUUCUGUGGGAUAUCCCUCCAAAAUAAUUAAGAGUUCAGAAUGCUUCAGAUUUUGAAGUGAAACUGGUACAUAUAUUAAGUGUUACUUAAUAACCCGAUAGUUUCUAGGGCAGCUCACCAUAAUCCCAAGUAUUAGCCACCACCCUCACCCCCUUCAGAGUAAAAUGUGUUUCCUGAAGGAAGUUGGGAAAAUGAAGAAAAAAAAUACAAAAAUCACCUAUAAUCUUACCAGUCAUAGAUGGCAGUUUUCCUGUCUUAUUUCUGAAUAAUGGUUGUUAAACAUUUGCCAGCACACCAUAAGGCUUAGGGAGGCAUCUGGGUCAUGCAUGUUAAUAUCCUUGGGUAAUUCCAGAAAUCUCUAUGAAGGGAAACUCCUGUUAUUUAUCUAGACUUCCUGAUUGCAAGGGGUUUGGGCAUCAUGAUUUAGGGGUCUUAAUAAAAUUAUUAUUUUAUUUUUACUAAUAGAUAAUGUCUGUGCCUAUCAGAUAAAGGCAAACCAGUGCUCAGAGGAACCCAACCAUCUCUGAAUUGAGACCAGAGAGCUGUCUCUAUGGAUAGUCCUUAGAGAAGGCAUUUCGGAACACAGUAAACAGCAGCCUGGUGACUCCGAUUACAGGGCCAGUUGCCUUUGUUACAAUAAAAGCAAGUCAUCUACACAGAUUUUUCCUACCAGGAAGAGCAUGUGCUGACCAACAGACAUGAAUUUCAGCCUGGUAGUUACAACAUUCACAGUAUACCCACAUCACUAAGCUGGGAGGCACAUUUUGAGACCCAGAAUCCUGACACCUCCAUGCCUUCAAAAGGAUGAGCAGAUUCAUGUAUGACCAGAAUGUAAACCAGGAUCACAGAGCAGCCGGAGAGGUGGUGACAGAACCAUCGAUGGAACCCUGGGCUCCAGGUUCUGACUCCUAUUUUCACUCACUAAUUUUUUUUUUUUGAGAUGGAGUCUUGCUCUGUCGCCAGGCUGGAGUAGAGUGGCAC
rnacentral:lncRNA from 1 species